UAUUUCUCCUCCUCCUUCUCUAUUACCCUAUUUGAGUUAGAUCUUCAAUGUUUUAGCCAUUGCUAGAAGUUGUUGUGGAGUUAAUUGCAAGAAGCAGUUAUGAAAAAAGGUAUUAAUCCUUCCCUCUUCUUCCGGUAAAUCCUUCAGUUUUUCUGUAGUUCCUUAUAGCAAUUGCUGCUGCAAAAUUUUUCCCAUUCAACUGUUGUUAAUUUCUGGUGGGUUUUCUUUUUUCAAUAUUGUGUUGUUCUAUGUAUUGGAAAUAUAUAAUCUUAUCGUUCUCAUAUUUGAAGGCUUGCUGGAUAUUUGUAUUUCCCACUUUCAGUGUUGGAUAUCUGUGGUUUCCCUAUUGAUAGUGCAAUGAUGAUUGAUGUUAUGUUUCUUUUCUCUGUUUAUUUGCAUGUAUUGUUAGGUUAUUAUACAAAGAUAAGUGAUGACUUUAAGGUAUCCGAUAAUAUGCCAAAGCAAUUGAAUAACUUUUGAUUUUCUUAUUUUUACCCACACUUUAUCUGUAACAUACUUCUCUAUCAGUCCAUUGGUGUAUUUUCUAUUUGUUAGUAUUAAAACGAUAUGUAUGUUCAAUUGCAAUUUGAUGCUGCCAGGCCAAUUUGUCAAUGUAAUACUUCUAGAAUAAACCAAAUCAUGACAGCUUCUUACACGAAAUUGAAAAUUACUUUCAACAGAAUGUCGAAAGAUUAAGCAUUGCGGUUCAGGAACCUAGAAUCAUAAACGAACAAUGGUGUACCAUAGAAACAUGUUAUGUCAUGCUAGAUAUGUAUAAAUGUCGCAAGUAAAUUCUAUCACAACAGCGAGCUAAAAGAGUUGAAUCAUAAAGGCGGUGAGUCUUGCAACAGUCAAAUGAUACACUGUCUUCGUCUGAAGUUGAGAGCCAUACGGAAAUCAAAGUGUGCUUCCAAUUUUUAAUCCAUUGUUAACUAGAUAAAAGUUGAAAAAAAUAAAUCUUCACGUAAUGUCGCUUGUGUAUAUAUAGAUAUACUUUCGUACAUAAAUUGAUUUACUACCAUUUACACUACUUUCUCUCCUACUAUUUUGCAAGACAUGCAUACUUUCGCGGCUACACAAACAACUGCUUGCACCUCUAUCUUUGAAGUAGGUGAGGCAGGGGAAUUGGAAAAUUUUGACUAAUCUAAUAAGUUCAAUGUGUCUAAAUAUUGUUUGUCUGAAUACUGAGACUAAUAUCAAGUAGAUAUGAUGCAGCAGAAAAGUUUUUUUCCACUCCCACUGAUUACUUCAGAUAGAGAUAGCUGCCGAGUAUAUGGAGAACACAGUGUGAUACUCCCUGGGAGAUAAAAAUGUAGUUUUUUUUUCAUACUUCAAGGAUCUGGUGGGCAGAGAAGUGACUGUGGAAUUGAAGAACGAUUUGGCUAUUCGAGGAACACUACAUUCAGUUGAUCAAUAUCUCAACAUUAAGCUUGAAAACACGAGGGUUGUUGAUGAGGACAAGUACCUCCACAUGGUAAUUCCUUUUUAUUCUCUCUCUUGUGUCUUUGUUCUUCUUAUUUUUUGUUGUUGAUUUCAUCUGGGAAAAUAUCGUUUAUUGCCUAUAUUUAGUUUGGAGAUGUAUUACAUCUUGCUUCUCUUUCACCUUCUCUAUUUGUGCGUGUAGAUCUGUUGAAAGCCUCUUUUUGGCCAUCUCUUUCUCAAUUCAACAAUUCUUGAAUUAUAUCUUUAUGCUUUUGGUAUGCAAUAAAACAAGUGGAUGUUUCUCUUCUAUAGUACUGAGGAUUUUUGAAUCCGAUAGUUUUGCUGGAAGCUACUAAUUUUGAUUGGAUAUGUGAAUCGAGAAGGUCAAUUUGAUGUAUUAACUUCUCUGUGUGUAUGUGUGAUAUGGGAUCCUUAGUCUAUACGGGGAUGAGGUUUUUCUAUCAAUACGACUAUGAUUAUCUGCGGCUUUCUCCUAGAAAUGUUUAAGGCUUAGUGUUCGUUCAUAGUUUCAAAUUGUCAUGCUUCAUCUCCAAUUACCUUUCUUGCUUACUAUAUGUUUAGUUAAUGGCUUUAUGAAGAACUACUUUUAUCUAAGAAGAAUAAAUGAGUUUAUGUUGGCUACUCUAUAGCAAUAUGGAAAUCAUUACUACUUGAAAUUUGUUUAUGCUAAAGGAAAGUGGACUUUGUUGUUCGUAAUAGUGCAUACUCUUUUGGAGAAUUGUUACAUAUAGUGCAAGUCAUCUACACUCUGUAGACGGCGAGAACUAUAUUGUUGAGGUAUGUUAUCAUUUCAUAUUUUACUAUUACUCAAAUUUUGAGCUAUUUCAUAUAUCAUAGACGUCUUAUAUUUAUCCUUCUGGUGUAAUCUGUAUAUUCCAUGCCUCUAAUGAGGCAAGCACAUCUUCACGUAUUACACUUUAGAACUGUAGUAGGCAAUGCCUUCUAGAUAUGAUAGUAUUUUGUAUCAGCGUUCAAUUAGACAAAUGUAGAGAAUAGACAUCCUUAGACUCAUUUCGAGGAAGUGAAGUCCACAAAACAGAACACUUUAAAAUCAAACUAAAACAUGUACAAGACGUGACAAAAUAUAAUUUACUCCUAAAUAUAAGAAAUAAGAUGUUAAAUUACCUUCUACUAAUAUCAUGCUUGGAUGAUGAGGUUGAUAUCAUACACCAAUAAUAGCGAUGGAACCCCACGAAAAUUUGUUCGACGAUUAGAACUACUUACCAGAAACAACUACAGGAAAUUAUAGAAAGUCACUAGAGUUGGAAAUAGU